CCUACGGGUGGCAGCAGUAGGGAAUCUUCCACAAUGGACGCAAGUCUGACGGAGCAACGCCGCGUGGGUGAAGAAGGUCUUCGGAUCGUAAAACUCUGUUGUUAGAGAAGAACGUGCGCGAGAGUAACUGUUAACGCCUUGACGGUAUCUAACCAGAAAGCCACGGCUAACUACGUGCCAGCAGCCGCGGUAAUACGUAGGUGGCAAGCGUUGUCCGGAUUUAUUGGGCGUAAAGGGAGCGCAGGCGGUUUUUUAAGUCUGAUGUGAAAGCCUUCGGCUUAACCGGAGUAGUGCAUUGGAAACUGGGAGACUUGAGUGCAGAAGAGGAGAGUGGAACUCCAUGUGUAGCGGUGAAAUGCGUAGAUAUAUGGAAGAACACCAGUGGCGAAAGCGACUCUCUGGUCUGUAACUGACGCUGAGGCUCGAAAGCGUGGGUAGCAAACAGGAUUAGAUACCCUAGUAGUC
rnacentral:rRNA from 1 species